UAAAAUGCAAUAGUUACCCGAUUUCCACCCAUCUCACAGUACCUUUAAUGAGCAAUGACAAUCGAGGAAUUUAAGUACAAAAAUGCAUGUCAAUAGAAGACCAUUAUAUUGACUACUUUUUUGUUCCGGCUCCCAGCCAUGUGUUGAGCCACGUAAAUCCAAACUGCAUCUCGGGCCGCAAACAAACAGGCCAUGGACCGCAUGUGGUCUGGGGGCCACAUGUUGAGUAGCCCUGCCCUACAGGGACGAGGCCCAAAUAUGGGAUUUCUGUUGCCCGAGAACAUGUGGUUUUUCUCUGAGCGCUCUGCUUCAAGUGGAUGGAGAGCUUUCUAUGACGUGGUCGUGAUACAUUCAGAAAUGCAAACCUGCCUUCUAUCGCCAUGCCAGUUGUAAACAGAAACAUAGACCCAUGUGUUUGAAUGCUCUCUAGGGCGGCCAAUAGCCGUCUGUACUAUCUGCCAGUUGCAUGAAGAAAAGGCUGCAGACAGGUUUUUCCACCAGGAGUUUGUUUCUCUGACCUUCUUCCAAGACAGAGAAGAAAUACGCUCAUUGCUUGCCAUAAAGCCUCCGAUCCUUUGUCUAGCUUCCUGUCACUUUCGAGUUCUUCAUUUAGAUAACGAUCAGAGCCAAGAUACAGAUAGGUGAUAAAGCGCUAGGAGAAAGAGAAAACAGGAAGCUGCUUUUCACAGAGGAAAUUGGCUUGUGAAAUAUUAGUUUAAUUAGUGUAAAAGGCCAUAAAAUCUACAACCUAGGCAAGUUCUGUUUUCUCUUAAUUUUGCUCAUGGAGGGAAUUAGCGUGUUGAUUCUCGUGAAUGUUUUAUUUGUAUAGAGAUCAGCUCUGCAGGUGCAUAGCUGGCAUGCUCCUCUGUUCUGCCACACAGCCAACAUUUAGCUGUAAAGCAGGGGGGGCUUAUUUGCCUGUGUUCUCUGGAGAACCAAGCUCAAACUUGGUUUAGGCCACAAUUAUUAAACGGAAAUUGUUCAUCUCAGCAAGGCGCCUGCUGGAUUUUUGCCUGUCGCCUCAAGCCCUGUCGUGUUACGGUUCCCCGGAGGGGACAGGGAAAAGCACCUGGGUUGAAAUGACAGAAGAGACUACCACGUCAGGACUGAGGUGCCAUGUCGGAGUGCAGCAGUCCGGAGCCUGUGUGAGUGAGGACUGCAUCAGUCCUCACUCGAACCAUUUUCCCACUGUAGCUCUGCCUCUCCUGUCCCCCCAUCCUUCCACCCGGCCACAGAGAUGGUGCUUGGGAGAACUGGCUUUUAAGCUGGCUCCCAUCAGCUCCUGUUCUGAUACAGAGGCAGCAAGAGGGGGGAGUGACUAGUCAAAUAGUGACUCGACUACCUGACAAGCCUAUGCUUAUUGGGUAGUUGACUAGUUGCUUACGUCCGUAGUUCAAACAGCAAAAAGAUGGCCCCCCAGCAGCAAGAGAUUAGAGUUUUGCCUUCCUUCCCAAUUGCUACUGAGAUCAGACAACUGCUCCCUACCCCCUACAGCUAGAGAUGAGGAGAAGCUCUGACAAACCUUUGGACUAGUUGAGAUUUUAGAUGGAGUUGAGCCACAGGUUUUAUCUGCAGGAUUCCAGUCUGCCUGGAUUGAAAGCUAGAUGUAGACUGGACACCAGUUUGUUUCAGUCUUCGGCGGGAACGUUGCUCAAUGCCGAUGUAUCUCAGGGGAAAUGUGUGCAGGUUUGGGGACAUGUUUGGGCCUGGGAAGAAAUAUUCCAUUUAUUACGCUUUCUCAGAUACGACCACCCACCAAUCUGGAGGAAGCCGCUGGGGUCUGGCUCACCUACAGCAAUCCUAGAGGCAGCUGGGCCAGGAGACUCAUCUGACCGUCCCUUUCUGGAGUCCAGGGUGCAGCCUGCUAGGAUCCCAGUUGUCAUUAGGAGCAGCUGUGUGUGGUGGCCAUUUCAGGUGGAAACAUGCAGAAUUAGUUGUUGGUAUAGCUACCGUGAUGCAGGAAUGACUGUUCUUUAAUCAGCUCUGAGAAAGCGGAACGGUGCAACAACAAAAACACUGGAAACCUUAACCAUCGUGCCAAUGAAAAAGAGAAAGGUUAUUUCUUAGCAGAGAAGAACUAGGAAGGCACCCGCUCUGCUGGCCAAACCGAGCACAGGUUGCAACUUGCCAUUUAGAAGUAUGUUGUGCAGGAAGAACGUGGGCGGCAGAUCAAACAGGGAGGAUUCUUAGGACUGAGGUGAGGUUGCUGUGAUCUGACCCCCCUUUUCCCCCACUUACAGGAAAGCAUUGCAAAAUGGCCACAGUUGGGGAUAGAUAAACCGGGGAUCCCUCCAGAUAAGAGAAUGUUGGCAGGGCACCAGACCUGCAUGCUAUGUCUCUUCUGUAGGUCACUAGAGCUCCUAAGCUGGCACCUCUCUCCAGAAACAUCAUGUUCUCCCCCAUGGCAAGUCUAAAACCAAUGACAUUCGCUGUAGCACGGGCCCUCGGGAGCUUGGUGAAUUCUCAGGCUGUUUUCCUUCUUGGCUCUCUUAUUGGACCAGCAGCAGUUACAUUCAACAGGGAACAUUUGCUGGGCUUCGGAAGCCUUGA